CGACUAAUUACUGCAAGCUGUUGGGAGUGUCAGAGAAUCUUAAAGAUCAUGUUUCAGUGAGUUUUGAGCCACCAGGGCCUAUGUCUGCAGGCAUGACUUGUGAACUAGAGGUUAUAUUUAUACCUUUGCUUGAUGUGGAUUUGGGUGGAAUGAUUCAUUUUCAGUCAGCUACUGGCCCUUUUUCUGUUUCCAUUAAGUGCUCCAAGAAAAA